GACGAACGCUGGCGGCGUGCUUAACACAUGCAAGUCGAACGCUGAAGCUCAGCUUUUGUUGGGUGGAUGAGUGGCGAACGGGUGAGUAACACGUGAGUAACCUGCCCCCUUCUUUGGGAUAACGCCCGGAAACGGGUGCUAAUACUGGAUAUUCACUGGUCUUCGCCUGGGGGUUGGUGGAAAGGGUUUUUCUGGUGGGGGAUGGGGUCGCGGCCUAUCAGCUUGUUGGUGGGGUGAUGGCCUACCAAGGCUUUGACGGGUAGCCGGCCUGAGAGGGUGAACGGGCACAUUGGGACUGAGAUGCCGCCCAGAGUCCGCCGGGAGGCAGCAGUGGGGAAUAUGGGACAAUGGGCGCAAGACUGAUGCAGCGACGCCGCUGGAGGGAUGGAGGCCGUCGGGUUGUGAAACUCUUUCGGUAAUGGUCAAGCCGCAACAAUGGUUGUGGUGAGGGUAGUGGGUAAAGAAGCGCCGGCUAACUACGUG
rnacentral:rRNA from 1 species